rnacentral:rRNA from 1 species
UACAGAGGUCUCAAGCGUUGUUCGGAUUCAUUGGGCGUAAAGGGUGUCGUAGGUGGCGCUGUAAGUCGGAGUGUGAAAUUUCGGAGCUCAACUCCGAAACUGCAUUGAUACUGCGGUGCUUGAGGACUGGAGAGGAGAUGGAAUUCAUGGUGUAGCAGUGAAAUGCGUAGAGUAUCAUGAGGAAGACCAGUGGCGAAGGCGGGUCUCUGGACAGUUCCUGACACUGAGGCACGAGGCCAGGGGAGCAAACGGG